AUUGAACGCUGGCGGCAGGCCUAACACAUGCAAGUCGAGCGGAUGAAGGGAGCUUGCUCCUGGAUUCAGCGGCGGACGGGUGAGUAAUGCCUAGGAAUCUGCCUGGUAGUGGGGGAUAACGUCCGGAAACGGGCGCUAAUACCGCAUACGUCCUGAGGGAGAAAGUGGGGGAUCUUCGGACCUCACGCUAUCAGAUGAGCCUAGGUCGGAUUAGCUAGUUGGUGGGGUAAAGGCCUACCAAGGCGACGAUCCGUAACUGGUCUGAGAGGAUGAUCAGUCACACUGGAACUGAGACACGGUCCAGACUCCUACGGGAGGCAGAAGUGGGGAAUAUUGGACAAUGGGCGAAAGCCUGAUCCAGCCAUGCCGCGUGUGUGAAGAAGGUCUUCGGAUUGUAAAGCACUUUAAGUUGGGAGGAAGGGUAGUAAGUUAAUACCUUGCUGUUUUGACGUUACCAACAGAAUAAGCACCGGCUAACUUCGUG
rnacentral:rRNA from 1 species